AGCCUAUAAACUUAUGUUAUCGAAAUGUAUAAUGAAUUUCGUCCAAAAAAGUCUAUAAAAACCUUUUAAUUGGCUAUACAGAAUGAGAACAUAAUAAUGUUGAUAUAAAGUGGCUAAUUUAAACAAAUGAUUUAUUUCUGGUGAUGUUUCUCAAUUCAAAUUGGGCAAGUCGAACUUUAUUGUAUCUAAACUUAUGUUAUUUUUAAAGAAAAAUACACAAAUAAUUUCAUCCAAAAGCGUCUGGAAAAACCUGUUAGUUAGUUAUAAAUAAUGAAAACGUAAUAAAGUUGAUAAAAAGUUGCUAAUAUAAUCAAAUAAAUUAUAUUUGGUGCCACUUUUGAAUUCAAAAUUGGGGAAGUCGAAUUUAUAGCCUCUUAACUUACGUUAUCGAAAUGUAUAAUGAAUUUCGUCCAAAAGCGUUUAUAAAAACCUUUUAAUUGGCUAUAUAGAAAGAGAACAUAAUAAUGUUGAUAUAAAGUUGCUAAUUUAGUCAAAUGAUUUAUUUCUGGUGACGUUUCUCAAUUCAAAAUGGGCAAGUCGAACUUUAGUGUAUCUAAACUUAUGUUAUUUUUAAAGAAAAAUAUACAAAUAAUUUUAUCCAAAAGCGUCUAGAAAAAUCUGUUACAUAGUUAUAAAUAAUGAAAACGUUAGAAAAUUGAUAAAAAGUAGCUAAUAUAAUCAAAUAAAUUAUAUUUUGUGCCAGUUUUGAAUUCAAAUUUGGGGAAGUCUAAUUUAUAGCCUCUAAACUUACGUUAUCGAAAUGUAUAAUGAAUUUCGUCCAAAAGCGUCUAUAAAAACCUUUUAAUUGGCUAUAUAGAGUGAGAACAUAAUAAUGUUGAUAUAAAGUUGCUAAUUUAAUCAAAUGAAUUAUUUCUGGAGACACUUCUCAAUUCAAAUUGGGCAAGUCGAACUUUAUUGCAUCUAAACUUAUGUGAUUUUUAAAGAGUAGUAUACAAAUAAUUUCAUCGAAAACCAUCUAGAAAAACCUGUUAGUUGGUUAUAAAUAAUGAAAACGAAAUAAGGUUGAUAAAAAGUUGCUAAUAUAACCAAAUAAAUUAUAUUUGGUGCCAGUUUUGAAUUCAAAAUUGGGGAAAUCUAAUUUAUAGCCUCCAAACUUAUGUUAUCGAAAUGUAUAAUGAAUUUCGUCCUAAAGCGUCUAUAAUAACCUUUUAUUUGGCUAUAUAGAAUGAGAACAUAAUAAUGUUAAUAUAAAGUUGCUAAUUUAAUCAAAUGAAUUAUUUCCGUUGACACUUCUCAAUUCAAAUUGGGCAAGUCGAACUUUAUUGCAUCUAAACUUAUGUUAUUUUUAAAGAGAAAUAUACAAAUAAUUUCAUCCAUAAGCGCCUAGAAAAACCUGUUAGUUAGUUAUAAAUAAUGAAAACGUAAUAAAGUUGAUAAAAAGUUGCUAUUAUAAUCAAAUAAAUUAUAUUUGGUGCCAGUUUUGAAUUUAAAAUUGGGGAAGUCGAAUUUAUUGCCUAUAAACUUACGUUAUCUAAAUGUAUAAUGAAUUUCGUUCAAAAGCGUCUAUAAAAACCUUUUAAUUGGCUAUAUAGAAACACAACAUAAUAAUGUUGAUAAAAAGUUGCUAAUUUAAUCAAACNAAUGUUGAUAUAAAGUUGCUAAUUUAAUCAAAUGAAUUAUUUCUGGAGACACUUCUCAAUUCAAAUUGGGCAAGUCGAACUUUAUUGCAUCUAAACUUAUGUGAUUUUUAAAGAGUAGUAUACAAAUAAUUUCAUCGAAAACCAUCUAGAAAAACCUGUUAGUUGGUUAUAAAUAAUGAAAACGAAAUAAGGUUGAUAAAAAGUUGCU
rnacentral:lncRNA from 1 species